rnacentral:ncRNA from 1 species
UAAAGAUUGCUUUUAUAGAUCUUAAAUUUAAUUAUGGUUUGUUAAUGGUUAAAAUAAUAUUAUUUAAAUUUAAUUUAUAAUGUGGGCAAUGAAUUUUUACCCUGGUAAUUAAUUAUUUGUAUAAUAUUUGUUCCAGAAUAAUCGGCUAUGCUUAUAAAAUUUAUACUUUAUUUUUUGUUAAUUAUAAUUUUUUUCUGUUUGAUUAUUUAAUUAUAGGUUAAAUUUUAAUUAUUAUUUGUAAUUAAUUAUAAUUAAAUAAUGUAAUUAUUGACCUAGAUUAGUACCUAGUUAAUUACAUGUUAAAAGUGCAGAAGUAAAGUUGGAUUUAAACUGAAAGAUUUUUGGCAGGUUUUCUAAAUUAUCCUUGGAGGUUGAGUAAUAAUUGAGAACCCUCAUUAACUACUAAUAUAUUUGGCUCAUGUAUGAUCGUUUAUUUUGUAUUUUAGAUACAUAAUUGUAAAUUUUUUAUUUCUAAAAAUAGAUAUAUAUUUGGUUUAUGUAUAAAGUUAUAUUUGACCUACAUUAAUUUGUAUUGUGGAUUAUUAAUGUUGUGUUAAUAUGAAAAUGUAAAGGACAGUAAAGUAAUUUUUAUGUUUAUUUGAAGAUUAUUUAGUAACGGUUCAAAUCAUCCAUCAAUUGCCUAAAGGGGAGUAAGUUGUAGUAAAGUAGGUUUAGGGGAACCUUAACCUAAUAGU